CCUACGGGAGGCAGCAGUGAGGAAUAUUGGUCAAUGGGCGCGAGCCUGAACCAGCCAAGUCGCGUGAGGGAAGACGGUCCUAUGGAUUGUAAACCUCUUUUGUCGGGGAGCAAAAGACGCCACGCGUGGCCUUCCGAGAGUACCCGAAGUAAAAGCAUCGGCUAACUCCGUUCCAGCAGCCGCGGUAAUACGGCGGAUGCGCUCGUUAUCCGGAGUUAUUGGGUUUAAAGGGAGCGUAGGCCUCAUGGCAAGCGUGCUGUGAAAUGUCCGGGCUCAACCCGGGCCUUGCAGCGGGAACUGGUGUGCUUGAGUCCGCGGAAAGCAGGCGGAAUUCGUCGUGUAGCGGUGAAAUGCUUAGAUAUGACGAAGAACCCCGAUUGCGAAGGCAGCUUGCUGCAGCGGAACUGACGCUGAUGCGCGAAAGCGCGGGUAUCGAACAGGAUGAGAUACCCUUGUAGUC
rnacentral:rRNA from 1 species